rnacentral:rRNA from 1 species
UACAGAGGUGGCAAGCGUUGUUCGGAAUUACUGGGCGUAAAGGGCGCGUAGGCGGCCUUCUAAGUCAGACGUGAAAUCCCCCGGCUUAACCUGGGAACUGCGUCUGAUACUGGAGGGCUUGAGUGCGGGAGAGGGAUGUGGAAUUCCAGGUGUAGCGGUGAAAUGCGUAGAUAUCUGGAGGAACACCGAUGGCGAAGGCAAUCCCCUGGGCCUGCACUGACGCUCAUGCACGAAAGCGUGGGGAGCAAACAGG